GAUGAACGCUGACAGAAUGCUUAACACAUGCAAGUCUUUGGCGAAGCUGUGCUUGCACAGCCUAGCCAAGGCGGACGGGUGAGUAACGCGUAAGGAACUUGCCCUGCAGUCAGGGAUAACAGACGGAAACGACAGAUAAGACCUGGUAAAGUCAGGUGGACUCAUGUCUAGCUUGAUGAAAAGAGAUGCUGCAGGAGAGCCUUGGGUACUAUUAGCUUGUUGGUUGGGUAACGGCCCAACAAGGCGGAGGUAGGUAGCCGGCCUGAGAGGGUGGACGGCCCAGAGGGGAACGGGAUGCCGCCCUUGCUCCUCCCGGGAGCAGCAGUGGAGAAUAAUGGACCAAUGGGGCAACCCUGAUCCAGCAAUUCUGUGUGCACGAUGAAGGUUUUCGGAUUGUAAAGUGCUUUCAGCAGGGAAGAAAAAAAUGACGGUACCUGCAGAAGAAGCGACGGCUAAAUACGUG
rnacentral:rRNA from 1 species